GUGGGGAAUAUUGGGCAAUGGGGGAAACCCUGACCCAGCAACGCCGCGUGAAGGAAGAAGGUUUUCGGAUCGUAAACUUCUAUCCUUGGUGAAGAUAAUGACGGUAGCCAAGAAGGAAGCCCCGGCUAACUACGUGCCAGCAGCCGCGGUAAUACGUAGGGGGCAAGCGUUGUCCGGAAUGAUUGGGCGUAAAGGGCGCGUAGGCGGCCUGGUAAGUCUGGAGUGAAAGUCCUGCUUUUAAGGUGGGAAUUGCUUUGGAUACUGUCGGGCUUGAGUGCAGGAGAGGUAAGCGGAAUUCCCGGUGUAGCGGUGAAAUGCGUAGAGAUCGGGAGGAACACCAGUGGCGAAGGCGACUUACUGGACUGUAACUGACGCUGAGGCGCGAAAGUGUGGGGAGCAAACAGGAUUAGAAACCCGUGUAGUCC
rnacentral:rRNA from 1 species